UAUUAGGGUCACAAGUUAACGUAUUAAAGGUGCAAUAGUUAAUUUUUUAUUCCUUACAAAUUCCAUGUACAAAUAACCUUGAAGUAAGUAAAUAAAUAAAUGAAACCCCAAUGGGUUAAGUAAUGGCCUUAGCAAACGUGUAUAAAGUCACUGUUUGGAAAAACAAGUUCCUGUCUGGAAUACCUGCUUGUGUUUGGAUGUCAGUCAUUUUAUAGACACUCUAGUCCACGGGCCACUGUAGAUUCUUGGGGUGGAGCUUUGUAAACAUGAGUGGGACUCAUUCAAAUUUCUAACCUAAUGCAGGCCAUGAUUUAACAUAUCAAGGCCACGAGUUAAUUCCAUGUGGCCACAAAUUAAGACCAUGAAUGAAUAUAUUUUGGCCAACCUUUAAUACAUAAAGGUAUCUCAUGGAUACAAAUUAUGUUGAUGUUGUUGUUAUGUUAUGUGGCCUGCAGUUAAUUAUUUGGUGGGAAUGAAUGAAAACAUAUUGAAGAAUAUGAUUAAUCUGACACAAGCUAAUAGUAUAUCGUUUUGACAACACCAGUGACUCCAGUAUGUCUUUACGCUCCAUUCCAAGAUUGAAGAAAAGAUUAACAUCUCCAUGUUUGGUUUCCAGUGACUAAAAUGGUGUAAUUCAAUUGGUUUCUCUGUUCAAAGCUUGCUACAAGUAAAGUAUUUAAUGGUUAUCUAAUAGAUCUCCCAAGCUUGUCACAUCUUGUUAAAAUAUAACCACCAUCAGCUCAGUAGCUUCAUUUCAAACAAUUUAUUGACAAGUUUUUUUUCUUUCUUUAAUGCUAAUGAGUCAGAAUCCAAAGAACAUUGCGUAGACAGCAAAUGCUCCACAUGCUGUCCAAAUGGCUGGGUGAAAUAUGAGAGACGUUGCUUCUUGUAUCAGGCCAAAACGGACUGGGCUUCUGCUGAGGUUCAAUUCAUUUCAUUAAACCUGUAUUCAUAUUUGUCUUUACAGAAGAGUGAGAAAUGUUAUGACAUGCUUAUUUAUUAGUACAUCAGUGGUGGAAUGGGUAUUAUAUACACAUAAUACACAUCUUUUAUAUCCUGGUUUCAAUGCUAGUUCAUGUCAGUAGUUUUGAAUAUAACUAGAACAAAUGACAUAAAAAAGUGGACUCCCUCAGCACAAUUUUUUAAACAGUCUAUGUAAAAAUUAGGCCCAUUAUUAAGAUGUGUUCAGUAGUAUUCAUGGAGCAUGAUUCUUUUUGGGUGUUUUUUUUUGUAAUUUUCUGAACUUAAAAUUGGCAACUGAUAUUAUUUCUAGGAAUAAUACCAUUGCUACUGGUAGGCUAUGGAUUGGCAAUCAUCCACCAAAAUAAAAUUUUAAAAAGCCUCCUGUUUUAGCAUAUACAAUUACAAUUAUUCAUGAAAACUCAUUUAUAAAGAACCAAUGAGGCUUCCUUACAAUAUGCAUAACUGUGCAUAAUAACUGCAUUACAUUUACAUUUAUAUUUAUUCAUUUAGCAGACGCUUUUAUCCAAAGCGACUUACAAAUGAGAAAAUACAAGCAAAGCGAUAUAUCAAGCAGAGAACAAUACAAGUACUGCUACCAUACAAGAUCCGUUAAUUGAGUUCCAGAAGAAGCAAAGUGCGCAGAGUAGAGGUGUAAGUGCCAGAGUAAUUUUUUUUAAAAAUUUUUAUGGGUUGGUUAGGUGUUCACAGAAGAGGUGGGUCUUUCGCUGUUUUUUGAGGAUGGUAAGAGAUUCUGCGGUUGAGGUUGGAAGUUGAUUCCACCACUGAGGAACAGUUAGUUUGAAUGUUCUUGAAAGGGACCUUGAGCCACACUGAGUAGGCUCAUUAAUGAACAUGCAGUGAUGCUACAGUUCUUCUUCUUUUCCUAGAAACGCUGUCUAGCUCUCGGUGCACACUUGGUCUCAAUCCACAACGAAAAACAAUAUCAACUGGUUAAGGCCGUUAUCCGUUAUCAUGACCCCCGGGAGAAUCCAACAUGGAUUGGCCUCAGUGCCUGUCAGAAGAGAAAUAACUUUUUUUGGUCUGAUGGCACCAAAUUGACUUACACCAAGUGGAGUCCAAAUGAACCCAAUUUUAAAAGUGGAGAGUGCUGUGUGCAUAUGAACUGGAGUGGCAGUAAGAACUGGAACGACAUUCCGUGUCAUCACAGCUAUCCCUUUGUGUGCACCAAGAGUAUUUACUGAAAUGCUCCCAGCUUCACCUUACCAACUAUAAUACAAUAUUGGAAAGGUUUUCCUUGUCACUAAUGGAUUUACAAAAAAAUUACUGUGGCAACUUACCAUAAAUAGAGCAAGAAAAAAAAUCUUUAAAAAAAAAUAAAAUAAAUUGUAUUUCAUUAAUGGGUAUCAUUUUGGUGUCAUUCUUAAAUACACUCUCAGAACAAUAAAUACAUCUAGCUCAUGCACUGAUCCGGCACGUAGGAUCACACAAUAAAUGGUUUCAUCUUCAAGAAAAGUUCCAAAAAGAAUACUUUCAUCACAACCUUCCAAAGAACCCUUAAAGCACUGCUUCAAAAAGUGGGUUCAAGGGA